UACAGAGGUGGCAAGCGUUGUUCGGAAUUACUGGGCGUAAAGGGCGCGUAGGCGGUCUCGUAAGUCCUGUGUGAAAUCCCUCGGCUUAACCGGGGAACUGCGUCUGAUACUGGAUGGCUUGAGUUCGGGAGAGGGAUGCGGAAUUCCAGGUGUAGCGGUGAAAUGCGUAGAUAUCUGGAGGAACACCGGUGGCGAAGGCGGCAUCCUGGACCGACACUGACGCUGAGGAGCGAAAGCCAGGGGAGCAAACGGG
rnacentral:rRNA from 1 species